UACAGAGGUCUCAAGCGUUGUUCGGAUUCAUUGGGCGUAAAGGGUGCGUAGGUGGUCGGGUAAGUCUCAUGUGAAAUCCCGCAGCUUAACUGCGGAACGGCAUGGGAUACUAUUCGGCUCGAGGAUUGGAGGGGGGACUGGAAUUCCCGGUGUAGCAGUGAAAUGCGUAGAUAUCGAGAGGAACACCUGCGGCGAAGGCGGGUUGCUGGGCUGACACUGACGCUGAGGCACGAAAGCGUGGGGAGCAAACAGG
rnacentral:rRNA from 1 species